GAUUGCAGUAGGGAAUCUUCGGCAAUGGACGAAAGUCUGACCGAGCAACGCCGCGUGAGUGAAGAAGGUUUUCGGAUCGUAAAACUCUGUUGGUAGAGAAGAACGUUGGUGAGAGUGGAAAGCUCAUCAAGUGACGGUAACUACCCAGAAAGGGACGGCUAACUACGUGCCAGCAGCCGCGGUAAUACGUAGGUCCCGAGCGUUGUCCGGAUUUAUUGGGCGUAAAGCGAGCGCAGGUGGUUUAUUAAGUCUGGUGUAAAAGGCAGUGGCUCAACCAUUGUAUGCAUUGGAAACUGGUAGACUUGAGUGCAGGAGAGGAGAGUGGAAUUCCAUGUGUAGCGGUGAAAUGCGUAGAUAUAUGGAAGAACACCAGAGGCGAAAGCGGCUCACUGGGCUGUAACUGACACUGAGGCUCGAAAGCGUAGGUAGCAAACAGGAUUAGAUACCCUGGUAGUCUACGCCGUAAACGAUGAGUGCUAGAUGUUGGAAGACUAAGUUUUUCAGUAUCGCAGCUAACGCGAUAAGCACUCCGCCUGGGGAGUAGGGCCGCAAGGCUAAAACUCAAAGGAAUUGACGGAU
rnacentral:rRNA from 1 species